UGUUUGCUCUGAGAAGUUGAAUGAACAAAUUUAUUAAAUGAUAAAGUUGUAUCCUUGAAAGAUAUGCUGGUAUUAUUGGCACAAUGGGCAAGCAUUGAAGUGCAACUUGGUGAACUACAAAAUUCAUCAAAUUCAGUUAUAAAAAUUUGAGUAUCAAAGGUAUGCUAAUUAUUGUAUUGCCUGAAAGAGUGUCAUUGCCAUUAAAAGCAGUGAAGAAUUCAAGUACUCUGGAAGAAA